GGAUUGUGGCUCAGCGGUAGAGCGCUUGCCUAGCACGCAUGGGACCCGGGUUCAAACCUCAGCACCA
rnacentral:tRNA from 1 species